rnacentral:precursor_RNA from 14 species
CCACAUUCAGCUAUUCAGUGUGCAGUGCCUUUCACAAGAAGGUGUCAUUCAUGUGAACCAAAAAUAUGAAUGAUGCCUUUUUGAGAAAAGUAAUGUACAUCAUGAAAUGCAUAUGUGGC